rnacentral:lncRNA from 1 species
AUCAAACCUUUUUUCAUGACCUACCAUUGUCAUGUCUCAUCUGGGCUAUUGUGACAUCCUCUAACUUGUCUAUUCCAAACAGAGUUGCUAUUAUGACACUUUUAAAGCAUAUGCCAAAUAAUAUUCCUCUGCACAAAAAGUCUCAUUCUUAGCCAAAGCUAACAUCCUUACUUGGGCAUUGAGUCAUCUCAUCCUGGCUAUCCUGCCUUCAUGUCCCCUUCAUCUCCCAUUAGCAGGCCUCCUUGUGCCACACUCUUGACAUGUAUCUUCUUCUGCCUUCAGGAUCUUCUGCCUGGAAAGCUCCUGUCAGACAUCAGAUAUUAUUGA